rnacentral:rRNA from 1 species
UGUUUGAGUGCUUUGUCCUUAUAUUUUCCCGGAAGUAUGCUUACCGCGCGGGCUUAACCAUGCAGUUGGGGGGAAACGAGUUUUCUGCACCCUUCGGGGAACGAUUACGGGGUUGGAGGCGGCGGACGGGUGGAGUAAUAGCCUAGGAAAUUGCCCUAGUUGUGGGGGAUAACCCCUUGGAAACGGUGGCUUAUCCCGCAUAAUACCCUUGGGGUCAAAGAGGGGGACCCUUGGGGCCUUCUCGGGUCCGGAAUAUGCCUAGGUGGGAUUAGCUAGUUGGUGAGGUAAUGGCUCCACCAAGGCGACGAUCCCUAGCUGGUUUGAGGGGAUGUUCAGCCCCACUGGAACUGAGACCCGGUCCAGAUUCCUACGGGAGGCAGCAGUGGGGAAUAUUGCACAAUGGGCGCAAGCCUGAUGCAGCCAUGCCGCGUGUGUGAAGAAGGCCUUCGGGUUGUAAAGCACUUUCAGUCGUGAGGAAGGUAGUGUAGUUAAUAGCUGCAUUAUUUGACGUUAGCGACAGAAGAAGCACCGGCUAACUCCGUGCCAGCAGCCGCGGUAAUACGGAGGGUGCGAGCGUUAAUCGGAAUUACUGGGCGUAAAGCGCAUGCAGGUGGUUUGUUAAGUCAGAUGUGAAAGCCCGGGGCUCAACCUCGGAAUAGCAUUUGAAACUGGCAGACUAGAGUACUGUAGAGGGGGGUAGAAUUUCAGGUGUAGCGGUGAAAUGCGUAGAGAUCUGAAGGAAUACCGGUGGCGAAGGCGGCCCCCUGGACAGAUACUGACACUCAGAUGCGAAAGCGUGGGGAGCAAACAGGAUUAGAUACCCUGGUAGUCCACGCCGUAAACGAUGUCUACUUGGAGGUUGUGGCCUUGAGCCGUGGCUUUCGGAGCUAACGCGUUAAGUAGACCGCCUGGGGAGUACGGUCGCAAGAUUAAAACUCAAAUGAAUUGACGGGGGCCCGCACAAGCGGUGGAGCAUGUGGUUUAAUUCGAUGCAACGCGAAGAACCUUACCUACUCUUGACAUCCAGAGAACUUUCCAGAGAUGGAUUGGUGCCUUCGGGAACUCUGAGACAGGUGCUGCAUGGCUGUCGUCAGCUCGUGUUGUGAAAUGUUGGGUUAAGUCCCGCAACGAGCGCAACCCUUAUCCUUGUUUGCCAGCACUUCGGGUGGGAACUCCAGGGAGACUGCCGGUGAUAAACCGGAGGAAGGUGGGGACGACUUCAAGUCAUCAUGGCCCUUACGAGUAGGGCUACCACACGUGCUACAAUGGCGCAUACAGAGGGCGGCCAAUUUGCGAGAUUGAGCGAAUCCCAAAAAGUGCGUCGUAGUCCGGAUCGGAGUCUCGCACCUCGACUCUGUGAAGUCGGAAUCGCUAUUUAUCGUGGGAUCAGAAUGUCCACGGUGAAUACUUUCCCGGGCCUUUUACACCCCGCCCGUCUACACCAUGGGAGUGGGCUGCAAAAGAAGUAGGUAGUUUUAACCUUCGGGAGGACGCUUACCAUUUUGGUUUUACGGGCAGGGGAGGCCCCUUGCAAACCACAACAUAAAAAGCCGUCCAGGCAG